GGACCCGCACAAGCGGUGGAGCAUGUGGUUUAAUUCGACGCAACGCGAAGAACCUUACCAGGGCUUGACAUCCUCUGCAAGCUAUAGAGAUAUAGUGAUUCAUCUUUCGGGAUGGACAGAGAGACAGGUGGUGCAUGGUUGUCGUCAGCUCGUGUCGUGAGAUGUUGGGUUAAGUCCCGCAACGAGCGCAACCCCUACAUUUAGUUGCCAGCAUUAAGUUGGGCACUCUAAAGGAACUGCCGGUGACAAACCGGAGGAAGGUGGGGAUGACGUCAAAUCAUCAUGCCCUUUAUGUUCUGGGCUACACACGUGCUACAAUGGCCGGUACAGAGGGAGGCGAAGGAGUGAUCCGGAGCGAAUCCCAAAAAGCCGGUCACAGUUCGGAUUGCAGGCUGCAACUCGCCUGCAUGAAGUCGGAAUCGCUAGUAAUCGCGAGUCAGCAUAUCGCGGUGAAUACGUUCCCGGGUCUU
rnacentral:rRNA from 1 species